GCGAGCGGGCGGGCGGCACGGAGCUCCCCCCUCGAGCUGCUGCUGGCCGGGCCGACGCAGCAGACUGAACGCGGCCGUGGGAGGGAGAGAGGAGUCAGGUGACCGGCCGGAACCACCCUGCGAGGACUGUGGGGGGGACGGAAGCAGGGCACGUCCCCUUCGUGGCGCAAUGGAACCGUCCACGUUUUCAGCUCCGCCUUCCGAUUGGUCGAGCGGCCCCGGAGCGUUCCAUUCUCUCCCAGGGCAGGGGCGGGCGGGAUCCCAGUUAUUUAUAGACGCGGCUUUCCGAGAGCCCCAAAUCUCCCUCAGGAAAAGGGGAUAAAAUCGCCACAGGCUGCCGGAGGGGGAGGUUAAAUAAGGGAAAUAAAAACAACCUCUCCCGUGGCGCAAAUGGUACAGUCCAAAGAACUGGUUCGGUGCGGGAGGGGCUGCCACAUGACAAGGGCUUAUUGAGGAAGGGCAGGGCCACAUGGGGACAGGGUCACGUGACUGGACAAGGCCAGGGUCACAUGGGGACAGGGUCACGUGACUGCAAAAGGUCAGGGUCACAUGACUGCACAAGGUCAGGGUCACAUGGGGACAGGGUCACAUGACUGGACCAGACCAGGGCCACAUGGGGACAGGGCCAUGGCUCUAGGCAAGACAGGGUAGCCAUCCCCGGUGCCUGGAGGACACGUCCGCGGUCCCCUUGACUGACACACGCCCGUCAGCCCACACCCCACUCCUGUGACCCUGGAUUCCCCACACCUCACCCCUCCAUUCAUCCGCACCAACGCCCCGAAGCCCGCCUUCCGGGCCGGCUCCCCACCGCCCUCCCAUCACCCCCGGCACCCGCUGACGUCGGCAUCUGCCCCAGGGCGACAGGAAAUGGCUCGAAAUCGAGCCAGAUUCGUUCUGUCCACGGCCCGGCCCCACAUCCCCAGCCAAGGCAGGGACCGACCCAGCGAGGGGACUGGGCCAAGCGGCUCGGCAGGGGUGCAGCGAUGGGUCACUUGCGAUAGCAUGGUAUUAAUAUGAAAUGCGGCACAGGGGAAGCGCGCUGCCUGCGUACGGGGACUGGAACGACGCCACCCGGGCCGGCUGCCCGGAGACCGGGACUGGAGAGAACCUGGUUCCUGUCCCAUAUUUCUAAACCCGACUGACGUGGGUUCUUUGGGUGCUUGAGUGUAUUUCAGAGCGAACUCCAUUUAUCAACAGGACUGCUUCUAGUAACGAGGACAAAGCUAAUUAUAUUUCGUAGCCAGCGUGGGCGAACCUUACCUCACUGUCUACUUGUAUUAUUCGCCUUCCCUGGCGGCCAUGAAGGGCUUCGUAGUGCUGAGGGAGGCUGGAGACGGGUCCUCACACGCAGCAUUUUGAAAGCUGACGCCAAUGUGUAGUUUGGCUUUUUCUGCGACCGCUUCCAACCAAUUCACUCAUGUCGCCAUGCGGGUUCGUCCAUGACAAUACUGCUCCAUGACAUAGACAGUAUGGCAGGACCUGGGGAUUUGGGGGUUUUCCCCCUCAAAUUCUUGAAGUUUCUACUUCCGCUUGGCUUUGUCCUCUUCAAAAUUGGCCGGCCUUUCUCUUCAACCCUUGAAAACGCAGCGCUGGCGCGAGGCCUUUAUACAACAUGCUUCGGACGCCGCCUCCGUGCUCAGCACUCGCUUCCCCAGCUUCGGGAGACGCUUCUCAAGCCCGUCCCUUUGGCAACCAAACGACGGGCUCUCGGCGCAUGGUAUUUUCAACCCGGUCAUGGCGCUUUCCUCGAGACUUCGGCGUUCGCUGAGAAAAGGGCAGAAAAGCUUUGUUCCCCCUCGGAGAGCGUUCAGUGUGGAGUUUGCAGCGUCAUCAUAAACGUCUCUCCAUUAUUCUGCACUCGAUUCUUCUUGUGCGGAAGCAGGACCAUUCUUAA